UACGGAGGGUGCGAGCGUUGUCCGGAAUCACUGGGCGUAAAGGGCGCGUAGGUGGCUCGUGAAGCGUGCGGUGAAAGUCCGAGGCUCAACCUCGGAUCGGCCGUGCGGACUCGCGGGCUCGAGCGUUGUAGAGGCGGGUGGAAUUCCGGGUGUAGAGGUGAAAUUCGUAGAUAUUCGCAAGAACACCAGUGGCGAAGGCGGCUCACUGGCCCGGUACUGACGCUGAGGUGCGAAAGCGUGGGGAGCAAACAGG
rnacentral:rRNA from 1 species